rnacentral:rRNA from 1 species
GACGAACGCUGGCGGCGUGCUUAACACAUGCAAGUCGAGCGGUAAGGCCCUUUCGGGGGUACGACGAGCGGCGAACGGGUGAGUAACACGUGGGUGACCUGCCCUUAGCUCUGGGAUAAGCCUGGGAAACUGGGUCUAAUACCGGAUAUGACUCCAUGACGCAUGUUGUGGGGUGGAAAGCCUUGUGCGGCUAGGGAUGGGCCCGCGGCCUAUCAGCUUGUUGGUGGGGUGAUGGCCUACCAAGGCGACGACGGGUAGCCGGCCUGAGAGGGCGACCGGCCACACUGGGACUGAGACACGGCCCAGACUCCUACGGGAGGCAGCAGUGGGGAAUCUUGCGCAAUGGGCGAAAGCCUGACGCAGCGACGCCGCGUGAGGGAUGACGGCCUCGGUUGUAA